GUCUAAGAGAGGGUAGAGCUGGAGCCCUCCUGCUAUGCCUCCUGUACCUGAGAGCAGAUGAAAAUGUUUCUGGGUUUGAAUUGGCGUUGAAGUUUCCGCUGAUAUUUUCCUUCCUGCUUUAUAACUUGCUGUGAGCUCCAUCAAUCCUGAAGAAGAGCUUCGAAUGGCAGCGUUGGAUGAGAUUGGAUCAUAUGUUUGAGAAGCCCAGCGUGUCCUGUCAUGGAGUUGGACACAGGUGAAGGACGGGGGCGCGAGGCGUCUGGACGGAGCCUGACAGCUUGUGAAUAGGAAGGCGGACCAGGCUGCUACUAAUCACACAUGCUGGACGGGAGUGUCUGAGUCUGGGAGAGCUUUUCAAUCACGCCGCCCCUCUAACUCCCACUCCGAAGGGCAUCUCGGCUGUUUUUACGAAGGCCCGGGGCUGAGCGGGAUUGCUUUGUGUUUGUCUGGUUUUGUAGGUGUUUUUGGAAAAGGAGAAAAACAUGGCAAACGCCUCAACUCCUGCAGAAGGCUGAAACUGCUUCACACAGGGGAGGAAAGUUCUGGAAAGCGUCUGGGACGACACUGGCACGAGUCUGUCUGUUUCUCACCAGGCAUGUCUCUCUCUCUCUCUCUCUCUCUCACACACACACACACACACACACGCAACCUUCUGGCCUGGUCUUGAACACAAGCAUUUAAUUUCAUUUCAGACCUUGAGGCAAUCUAUCCAUCAUCACUCCUCUCUCUUCCUCUGGUCUCACCUGCCAUACACUUCAUGUAGAAAAAAAAAGGAAAAGAAACUGCUAAUUGCACACGUGGGAGUUUUAAAGUUUUAAUUUUUAAUUUGACUGCCAUCACUUUAAUGAGCAAACAGUACAGCAGAGCUAAAGCAUUUCCGCUCUAAACUAUUUGUUCUGCAUGACAAAAAAAAAAAAAAAAAAAGAAGAGAGAAGCCAAAUGGAAGUAAUGUGUUUUAACGUUAUAUUUCAUUCGUAUAUAUAUUUUUCCUUUCGAAAUUAGGCAGGUCAAUAUCUUAAUAGGAUCAGCUUCAAUAUGGGUUAAGAUUUAAAUGGCGGAGUUUGGCACUGCUGUAUGCUUUGAUAUGUUCGGUCAGAAGAAAAAAUUUGCUCCUGUCCAUGUUCAGCAUCGAGUGUCUUUAUCAUGUCUCACUCCACAGUGGUGGUUAACAUGAAGCUCAUAAGUAAGCAGACACUCGAGCCUUUAAGAAUUUGUAGUGCUUCGUAAGUAUUUCUGAUUUUAGCCUACUAGGGGCGAGAUAUUCAUUGAAAAGUUAAAAAAAACAACACAAAAUCUCAAAGUAAAUGCUGAUAUCAAACCCAUUUCUGCUCUCUGAGAUGCUUGUUCAUCUAAAAAGCAUCUAAAGUUGAUCUUUAACCAGUAAAACUCUGUGUAAGGUUAUCCAACAGAGGGACAAACACACGUCUAAAACACACUGAAAGCCAACAGGCUCAUUUUAGUAUAAUUAUUGAUAUGGUAAAAGGAAAAUACAGAGAUGUUUGUUUAACAUUUAGGGAAGGGGUCUCCGGUAUCAGUCACGGCAGAAAGAGCUUGGGUUUUGCUUUAUGUAUUAAAGAAAGAACUUACUUCCUGGUGAAAGUUCCACAACAUAAAGUAACUACAACCGGUUAAAAAGCAUGACGUUGUUUAUUGAUGAAUAAAAAUGUGUAAUUAUUGACUUUCUUUUCUUCUAACAGCACACCAUGUAGAGUGUUAUUCAUUAUAUAACACUAAGGAGCCACAUAUUAGCAAAAAUACGGCAUUUCUAGGCUGCUUGAAAUGAAUGUCUUCUCACAGAACUAUUUAUGUAUUCAGAGAAUAAAAGAUCCUCGCUCACACCUGUAGUAUUCUUCCCCGGCCAGAUCGUCAGCCAUGAUUGUCUUUUUAACUGCAGAUUUGACAGAGCAUUAUCCACGAUCCGAUGCUGAAGUGAAGCUGUUUUAAUCCACAAUAUUUUGGACACAUAACAUUCCAGGCUAUUAGGAGGAUUUGCGGAACAAUCGAUGGCCGGCGAAGCAUCAACCCAAUCUGGCAAAGAUGGCUGUGCCCCUGCGCUAGCCUCGGAGGACAUCUGAACAGCACAAAGGGUGCCAACAAAACACAAACAGACUGCAAUUAAUUAGCACCAAUGUUUACGACAUGCUCAAGAAGAAAGGAUUUUCGCCGAAGAAAACAGCACGAAGAAUACCCAGGCUGGGGCUUCACUUUAAUGAGCUCCACUAGGUUAAUUAAGGACACAUAAACAAAUGUGAAGGUUUAUAGACAUUGUUUACACUGGAGAUGUGCGAUCGUUGGAUUGGGUUCUGUUCAAGGAAGAGGUCAUUACGAAUUAUAUAAAGUGAAGGCUUUCAUGUUCUUCCUGUGUUUCAGGGGGAUUCCUCUGGAUUCUCUGGGUUUCCUCCUCCAGCCCAAAGACAUGCCUCGUAGACUGAUUGUUUCAGACUGGGACAUUUCAUUUCCCUGUCUGAAUACUAGGGGGCGCUGACAGGUGUAUGGCUGUUCAUUGUGAAUCCUGUCGAUUACUUUUAAUGUGCUUUGCUAUUUACACAGAUCAGGAAUAACAUUAUGACCGCCCGCCUAAUAUCGUGUUGGUCCCCCCUUUUGCUGACCUGUGAUGCACUGUGUAUUCGGACACCUUUCUGUCUAUCAGAAACAGCAUUAACUUCUUCAGCAAUUUGAGCAACAGUAGUUCGUCUGUUGGAUCGGAUCACACGGGCCAGCCUUCACUCCCCACAUGCAUCAGUGAGGCUUGGACGCCCAUGACCCUGUCGACGGUUCACCACUGUUCCUUCCUUGGACCACUUUUGAUAGAUACUGACCACUGCAGACCGGGAACACCCCACAAGAGCUGCAGUUUUGGAGAUGCUCUGAUCCAGUCGUCUAGCCCUGAGGUAGUCUUUUGUGGCAUGGUUGGGAUUCAAACUUAUGAUUUCCUGAUGUUUUCUCCUGCCGCCUCAUCCUUGUGACGUUGACAAAGUUUUCUUAAUAAAUAUCUUGUUUAUGGGCUCAUGGCCUGAAUGUAAAGACUAAGUUUGGAUGGACUAGAUGGAUGUUGACUUGAAUAUAACUAAGCAGGAUCAGUAACAGAUAAAUAAAUUGUUUCACACAAUUUUUCAGAUUUUUUAUUCUUAAAGAAAAAGAACUAGUUCUUUAAAGAUGAAGCGAUGGUUUGACGUCGUGACAGAAGAUUUUUUCCGGCGUCGGAGGAACGAGUUCGCACGCUUGAUUUGCACACCUCAGCGUCUCCUCUUUUUCCGGGCACAUGGCAGAUGCUCAGAGCUCGGCCUGGCUGAGAGAAACGUGGGACGUGGCAGAGAAUGUUCAUGAGGGAAAUAACAGGGAGAGGAAAGCGAGAACUUGACUCAAGCUUGUGCGUGAAAUGUGGUGACAAGUUGGAAUGGAAACACUUUUAUUUUUUCCUUCGGUGAAUUCCUUCGUGGACGCUAUUAGCAUUACAAAGCAGCGUGGAAGUUAGCGAUCUGACAGGGCUUGGAUGGCGGCGCUUGUGUAGGUGCUCAGGUGCACGCCAUAUGAACCCUCAGCAACUGUCACAGCUCCUGAGAAAUGAGAUCCACAGCACCUUGCCAUUUGUGAGGGACAUGGGAAGGGGCAGCAGCAGCCAACAAUCCUGUGAAGCUCCAAGCUGCCACUCUGUCGCUCGAUGGCCACCGGGCUCCAAGUGACCAGUGAAGACCUGCUGCUCUCAUUCCUCUCCCAUAUGUGGGACUUCCUGUUCCUACAGGGUACCGGCUAGAUCAGGGCUGUGGGCUCCCCGCUAUUAUUUGCCCUUUUGUCCUGGUCUUAAGGCUUCCAAUAAAUUAAAUACGAAAACAUAAACAGCGUAGCUGACGUAAACUACGCCACCUUCUCGCUCCAGCAACGCGGCGUACGGCGAGAUCUUUCACCUCACUUCUGUACAUGUGCAGAUGCUCAGCUUCCAUCUCCUGGUGCUAUUAAUCUAUAUUUAACCCACAGUCUAAAUAAGGCAGUGAUGAACAUCAAGUGGACUGUAGGCUUUUUAUCUGUAAGUGCUGACUGAUCCCCAGAGCAACCAAGAACGUUUAUAGCUCUUCACACAUCUUCACACUGACAGUGUUUUUUUGUUUUUUUUUAUUAUUCCGAGGGAAUGAAAUGAUA